GCAAGCAGUGGGUGGGAGUUUGCUGCUGCUCUGAAGCCCUGAGUUUUGAGACCAAGAACAUGAGGAUGGAAUCCAAGAGACUCAACUCAGGCUAGUCUUAGCCACACAACUCCUUUGCUAUCUGACUUGGUCCAGCUCAGCACUUGGCUACAGUUUGCACUCAGUGAACAUUGAUUCAACUAAGUGAACUGACUCAAGGGUAUGACUUUUGAAAUUGCCUCUUGCUAACGUAGCCAGCAAGUACAUCAUCUUGGAUGGAGAUACCAAACAAAGAUCACAAGAUCGUUCUUUGUGCUUCAGAGCCACAUGGAGAAUCUCAUUGGAACAACCCAAAUUCUUAAGGCCAUACAGAAUUUUGCGUGGGAGGCUUAAAAUGUGCUAAGGAACUUUGAAGAAAGUAUAUAUAAAACACGUGCAAGCUGGGCACAGCCAGGGCUACAAGGGCUACACAGAGAAACCCUGUCUCAAAAAACCAAACAAACAAAAAAAACCAACCAAAAAAAAAAACAAAAACAAAAAAAACCCCAAAAAAGUAAACUACAAUACAUGUUUUGUUUUCUUUUCUUUUCUUUUGAUCUAACUAGUGGAAAUUAAUGACUCUGGUGUGAUUUAAGGUUACAGGUUGAUUGUCCAAUGUUAAGAAAAACAUGAAUUUUGGCUUUCUUGGGCUUAUAAAAUGACUGAAAAGUAUUUAAAUGAGUGCUUAAGUACAGGGUUAUUUGUUAUGGCAUAAAUAUACUAUUAGAAAAAAAGAAAUAAAAGUAAAGAGAAUAAAAGAAAA
rnacentral:lncRNA from 1 species